ensembl:lncRNA
GUCUGUAGACUGGCCUGUUAGUGUCAGUAUAUUAGUCUGUAGACUGGCCUGUCAGUGUCACUAUAUUUGCCUGUAGACUGACCUGUCAGUGUCACCAUAUUGGUCUGUAGACUGGCCUGUCAGUGUCACCAUAUUUGUCUGUAGACUGGCCUGUCAGUGUCAGUAUACUAGUCUGUAAACUAGCCUGUUAGUGUCCGUAUAUUGGUCUGUAGACUGGCCUGUCAGUGUCAGUAUAUUUGUCUGUAGACUGGCCUUUCAGUGUCAGUAUAUUAGUCUGUAGACUGGCCUGUCAGUGUCAGUAUAUUAGUCUGUAGACUGGCCUGUCAGUAUCAGUAUGUUAGUCUGUAGACUGGCCUGUCAGUAGAGGGAGACACAGCCCCAAUUUUAUUUCAGUUCUCAAGAGGAAGUGGUGGUGGAUAAACCCUCUCUGCUCUCCACACCCUCUCUGUUCUCUCAGUUGUUUUUCCUCCUCUCUCUCACUUUCUUCAUACAUCACUGCACUGGAAGGUCCUGUAACGUGUGUUGAGUUCCAUCAGUCUCCUUCCCUGAUAGUUAAAGAUGGGGGAGACGUGGAGAUUCACUGUAGCCAUGAUGACAGUAGCCUGUUGCAAAUGUUGUGGUACCAACAGAAACAGGCCAGUUCUGCUUUGUCUCUGAUAGGGUACAAAUACGGCACCAGUGAACCUACUAACGAGCCUCAGUUCAAGGAGAGAUUCAAGCUGAACAAAGCAGGUGGUCUGAAUGGAUCUCUAGUUAUCUCCAGUCUGAUGGCAACAGACUCGGCUGUUUAUUUCUGUGCUGCCAGUAACACAGUGAUGUGGGUUCAUAUCAUACCUGACUAAAAUCCUGAUGCACAGAAAUUCUUCUGUACACAACACGCACACAGGAAAUCCAGUCAGAUAUAAAAUACUGUGGUUUAUCCACCACAUGUCAAGUGUAGAAACCGCUUGAUUGGUGCUGUGGGAGGGGCAAGAGUCAGAACUGUUGUGUGAAGAUCACAAUUAACAGAAACACAAAUCCAGAAUGCAAGCCCGCCUGCUCAUUUGGUUUGGUUGGCUCACAACAACAUGCUUUCU